AUGAAACACAAAAUAUACUCUCAGACAAUAAUCUCACUUCUUGAAGAACAAUCACAUUUCCUCAAGCGUUUUCCAACCGCAAUAAUGGGUUUAUUGUCGGAAAUCUAUGACAUUGAAAAUGAGAUGAUGUUACAAAGUUUUUACUAUCAACCAUACAAUGAAGUACAAAAUUGCAUAAAAUGA